rnacentral:rRNA from 1 species
AGUGAACGCUGGCGGUAGGCCUAACCAAUGCAAGUCGACCGGCAGCACAGUAAGAGCUUGCUCUUACGGGUGGCGAGUGGCGGACGGGUGAGGAAUAAAUCGGAAUCUAUUUUUUCGUGGGGGAUAAGGUAGGGAAACUUACGCUAAUACGGCAUACGACCUACGGGUGAAAGCAGGGGAUCUUCGGACCUUGCGCGAUUGAAUGAGCCGAUGUCGGAUUAGCUAGUUGGCGGGGUAAAGGCCAACCAAGGCGACGAUCCGUAGCUGGUCUGAGAGGAUGAUCAGCCACACUGGAACUGAGACACGGUCCAGACUCCUACGGGAGGCAGCAGUGGGGAAUAUUGGACAAAGGGCGCAAGCCUGAUCCAGCCAUACCGCGUGGGUGAAGAAGGCCUUCGGGUUGUAAAGCCCUUUUGUUGGGAAAGAAAAGCAGCAGGUUAAUACCCCGCUGUUCUGACGGUACCCAAAGAAUAAGCACCGGCUAACUUCGUG